UCGGGGGAAAAUUUAUUGCUAUUAGAUGAGCCUAUAUUAGAUUAGCUAGUUGGUGGAGUAAUAGCCUACCAAGGCAAUGAUCUAUAGCUGAUCUGAGAGGAUGAUCAGCCACACUGGAACUGAGAUACGGUCCAGACUCCUACGGGAGGCAGCAGUGGGGAAUAUUGGACAAUGGGCGAAAGCCUGAUCCAGCUAUGCCGCAUGAGUGAAGAAGGCCUUUGGGUUGUAAAGCUCUUUUAGUGAGGAAGAUAAUGACGGUACUCACAGAAGAAGUCCUGGCUAACUCCGUGCCAGCAGCCGCGGUAAUACGGAGAGGGCUAGCGUUAUUCGGAAUUAUUGGGCGUAAAGGGCGCGUAGGCUGAUUAAUAAGUUAAAAGUGAAAUCCCGAGGCUUAACCUUGGAAUUGCUUUUAAAACUAUUAAUCUAGAGAUUGAAAGAGGAUAGAGGAAUUCCUGAUGUAGAGGUAAAAUUCGUAAAUAUUAGGAGGAACACCAGUGGCGAAGGCGUCUAUCUGGUUCAAAUCUGACGCUGAGGCGCGAAGGCGUGGGGAGCAAACAGGAUUAGAUACCC
rnacentral:rRNA from 1 species